GGUGGGGAGGGCCGGGCUCCGCACUUCCUCUUCCCCCAGGAAGAGCCCGGCCCUCCGCUGCCCGCAGGAACACCCCGGCGCUUCGGGGGCGGCACUCCAGCAGCCGAACCCGCCCCAUAAACCUCCCCAGCACUGGAAACCCUUCCAUAAGGUGUCCCCCGCCCCAAUAGGCUGCAGCCCCCAGGACCAACACAUUCCCCCCGCGGCUACAGAAUGGGACGAGGCAGGCACAAGCUUGGGCUUAGGAAGGGGUUGGCGUACCCCCGCUUUAUUAAUGGGAUUUGGGGGGGCACAUGGCGUGGCCUCCCCACCAUCACCGGUACAGGUAAUCAGCCUGGAUGUUGGCUGCAAUCUCAGCCUCCCACUUGUCGCCGUUGUUGAGCAGCUUCUCCUUGUUGUACAGCAACUCCUCGUGCGUCUCCGUCGAGAACUCAAAGUUGGGACCCUCCACGAUGGCAUCCACAGGGCAGGCCUCCUGGCAGAAGCCACAGUAGAUGCACUUGGUCAUGUCGAUGUCGUAGCGCGUGGUGCGGCGGCUGCCGUCCGCCCUGGGCUCGGCCUCAAUGGUGAUGGCCUGUGCGGGGCAGAUGGCCUCACAGAGCUUGCAGGCGAUGCAGCGUUCCUCGCCCGACGGGUAGCGGCGCAGUGCGUGCUCCCCACGGAAGCGUGGGCUCAGCGGUCCCUUCUCAAAGGGAUAAUUGAUGGUGGCCGGCUCCCGGAACAGGUAGCUGAGUGUCAUGGCCAGCCCUCGGAAGAGCUCUGUCCACAGCAGGGUCUGUGCAGCUCGGUCGGUGAUGGACUUCAUGUCCAUAGCUGGCUCCUGGAUGUUGACAUACUUGUAGCACUCUCGGGGGGUGGUGGUGCUGAGUGCCCGCAGGUAGCACACGGGGGGAACUGGCGGACCUGCCCGGGCGGCCCGGUACAACAGGCGUAGCGCUGCCAUGUGCUGUCCUCCCCCAAGGACCCGGCCGUCC
rnacentral:lncRNA from 1 species